rnacentral:rRNA from 1 species
GACGAACGCUGGCGGCGCGCCUAACACAUGCAAGUCGAACGGAGUUAUUCUGAAUGAAGUUUUCGGAUGGAUUUUGGAUUAACUUAGUGGCGAACGGGUGAGUAACGCGUGAGUAACCUGCCCUGGAGUGGGGGACAACAGUUGGAAACGAUAGCUAAUACCGCAUAACAGUGUUUAACACAUGUUAGAUGCUUGAAAGAUGCAAUUGCAUCACUAGUAGAUGGACCUGCGUUGUAUUAGCUAGUUGGUGGGGUAACGGCCCACCAAGGCGACGAUACAUAGCCGACCUGAGAGGGUGAUCGGGCCACACUGGGACUGAGACACGGGCCCAGACUCCUACGGGAGGCAGCAGUAGGGAAUCUUCGGCAAUGGGGGCAACCCUGACCGAGCAACGCCGCGUGAGUGAAGAAGGUUUUCGGAUCGUAAAGCUCUGUUGUAAGAGAAGAACGUGUGUGAGA